GCCAGACUCCUACGGGAGGCAGCAGUGGGGAAUAUUGCACAAUGGGGGAAACCCUGAUGCAGCGACGCCGCGUGAGUGAAGAAGUAUUUCGGUAUGUAAAGCUCUAUCAGCAGGGAAGAAAAUGACGGUACCUGAUUAAGAAGCCCCGGCUAACUACGUGCCAGCAGCCGCGGUAAUACGUAGGGGGCAAGCGUUAUCCGGAUUUACUGGGUGUAAAGGGAGCGUAGACGGUGAUGCAAGUCAGAAGUGAAAGCCCGGGGCUCAACGCCGGGACUGCUUUUGAAACUGUGUGACUGGAGUGCAGGAGAGGUAAGCGGAAUUCCUGGUGUAGCGGUGAAAUGCGUAGAUAUCAGGAGGAACACCAGUGGCGAAGGCGGCUUACUGGACUGUAACUGACGUUGAGGCGCGAAAGCGUGGGGAGCAAACAGGAUUAGAUACCCCAGUAUA
rnacentral:rRNA from 1 species